UGAGGUCCAGGCUGGAGAAGAGGCUGAUAAUUACUGCUUAGUGCGGGACAACAGCUUGGUGUCUGCAUUGCCCUCAAGGCCCACAGGGAAAUGAGAUAAAAACCUGUCAGCUGCCUGUACCCACUCACUGCCCAGAACCUUUCUCAUUGCUAUUGUUUAGUGAGCAGGUGGCUGCUGCUGAGAAUGUGUCAUGGGGGAAGUGGUGCUGCUUCUGGGGAAGUGUCAUGGGGAUCAAUACAGCUGAGCUUUCUCUUCUGGUCCCCUGAGUUGUUGCUGCACCCCUUUUUCUAAGGUCCUGAGUAUGGUCUGCUGACCCAGUUGUGCACAAUUUCUGGGGCUUUUGGUCAGAUCACUCCAUCUUGCACUGGAAGCAUUGCUGUGGAUUAUUAUGUUAGUGCCUUGAACCAGCUUCUUUCAGGGAAGAAACACAGAAUCCCUCCUCUCCCCUUGAAACUUCUGCUCACCCCCAGUUUCCUAAUUCUAUAUGUGUACCCUUAAACAAAAGACCCAAUCAACCCUUGGGUCCAAUAUUAGGCAGAAGGUAAUUGGCUUGUGACAAGGAAGGCUGGGUGACCCUUCCUGUUCCUCAGAGUGGAACACCCACAAGAUGUACUUAGCUCUCUCUUCCUGUCUGCGUGGCCCUCCCUGUGUUGUCCCCUGGUCAAGGAUGGUGGAGAGGGAGCAACCACAGUGUGAGAUGAAGGAGAUCCCCUGACUGCCACAGUGGGAAGUGGGUUGGUCUUGGCUGGCCUGUCACUGACCUUUGUCUUUCUUGUGUUCUGAAUCUGGAACACAUUUUCUCUGAACACACACAGUGAUCUACAUGGAGGAAGAAGCGGUGACACAGAGGUGACUUCACUGAGUGCAGGGCUGUGGAAAUGACUGCAUCUUGAAGAGGAGAUUCCUGGGCAGUGAAGAGACCCCUCUCUGUGGGAAGGGGGUAGUGGACAGAUGGUGUGCACAGAACUGCAUGAGGAGGGUCUUCCGAGACACAAUUUUACAUUGAUCUGUGAUUUCUACAAACACCUGAGGAAGACCAGUCAUGGACUGUGACUUGAGGAUAUUCAAAAGAAUACGAUGUGAAACAAAUAAGGACAUCUUAUAGUGACAAAAUGGCCCAUCCUCCAAGGAGAUUACAUCUUUCACUUAACGAGAGAACUCCAAAAUACAUAAAACAAACUGACAGAAUUGAAAAGAGAAACAGACCCCUCAACAAUAACAGUUGGAGACUUCAAUAUUCAACUUCCAAUAAUGAAUAGAAUCUGUCAUUUUCCGUGUUGCUCACAUCAGCACUGUGGGAUAGGCAGAGUAAAGGCUGGGAUCCAUAUUUCAUGGUGCAGUGUACUAAAAUUUAGAGAGAUUAAGUGACUUUCCCAGAGUCCUAGAACUGAUUGAGUGAUGGUCCUGAGGCAGGAGAUACAGAUGGUUCCCUAGGGAUAGAAAUCCCUGAUCACCUGGAUAUGAGAUCAUGCCCUGGACACUUGAAUAAAGCCCUUUCCUCACUCCCUUGUCCACAUUCUCUUGCCUCAAGGUUUCUGCAGGGAGACAGCUCGUUCCCCAAGGAGGUGCCUGAAACAAGAGAAUGGCUCAAAUCCUGACACAACUCCUGGCUCUAUGUUUCAACCCCUGUCUUGAAAUUCAAUGUCUUUCCUCCAAAUGAAGAUCCCCUGAUAGACUGGGUGUAUCCAAACAUGUCUCCCGUCUCUCUUCACUUGUCCCCAGCAUUUGAUUCUAUAAAAUGCCUUGCAGAGAGACUUCCUCGUGGUCAGGUGAUCACCUUGAAUGACCAGUAGUCUGCUUGACUCCCAACUGGCUCAGAACCCAGGAGAUUCCAAACUAAGUGCCCAUAUGACAGUUGCACAAAGAACUAGGAAAAAGGUCUCCCAGGCUGGUGCUUUAGUGGCUUAUUGGAUGAAGUCUACAAACCCCCAGUGUCUUCCUGACUAAAGAUCCGACCCACCAUCUUAGCAGCCAUUAAGUCAUGGCUGAGAGCAGGAAGUAGCUGCACUGACUUUGAGUAUACACCUUUCCUGCUCAUUCUUUCCUCUCCAAAUCCAGUCUCUGCUGUACAAACUACAGUCACUCUUCUUGAAUCUACUAACUGAUUUGAUUUCAUUCCUGGCACUUUCAAUGAAGUAGUUAGUUAAUGGGGGUGAUAUUUAUGGCUCUACCCUGUCAUUUGGCCAGAUGCUUAUUUCAAUGUGGUUGAACCACUAUGGGAACAGCCAGCAGAUUUUCUUGAACACAGUUUUGUUGUGAAUCCUGUGUUUUAAUCCCUUACGAUAUUUUUCUUCUUAUAACCUGAGCCACGAUCCUGGAAAAUAUACUAAAAAUAGAACUGUUGAUAUGCAGCUGGGAGAAGACCUUGGGAACACAUUCAUUCAUUACCAAAUCAUACUUUCAUUAGCAAAAAGAGGUACUGCAGUGUAGUAUGCACCUAACAUUCCCAGCAGCCUGAUGGCAUGACAAUGUGACUUUAUUAGGAUGAGACUUUUUUAUAAAAAGGCAGCACUUCAGUGACAGAGAGAGCAUGGGAAUUGCUAUAUGGUGGCUGGUAUCAAAUAAUACUAGAAGCCACACAUACCUAGGAAAGUUAUUUAACCCCUCUGUCCUUGGUUCCCUGUUCUGUAGUAUGGGGCCUACCUACCAGUACUCUGUUAUGAUUCUUAAUAUAAGAAAAUCCAGAUAAUGCCUGAAGAAAAAUAACUGGUACUUCAUAACUGUUUCAAUAUUAAAUGUCUGGAAGAAUAAGCAAGAUAUGUAGGAGUGGCUGCCUCCAGAGAGAAAACUCUGAAUACUACAGCUCAGGAGAAGGUACAAGAUGAUCUUUCAGCCUUCACAUGGGCAUGAUGCUUCAUGGUUCAUAGAGAAUAUCUGUCAUUAUCUCCUGUCAUCCCCUGUUAUGCCCCAUGGGAUGUGCAGGGCACAUUUGUGUUUCCUAGCACUGAAUUGUAGAGAUUUUAAGUGACUUGUCUGGGGUCACAACACUGAUGACAGAUGGAUCUGGUAUAGGAAAGUAGUUGGUUCCCUGGGAACAGAGAUCCCUGAACCCCUAUGAGUCCUCCAGAUCAUGUGCUAGACUUCUGAACCAAGGGAUAACCUCCCUCCAUUCCCCAAGUGUUCCUUCCACAAAAUUGCUGCCAGGACAUAGAAGGUGUCUGAGCAAAGAGAAGGGCACAUGCAUGAUCCAGCUUCGACAUAUACAUUUCAAUCCCUGAUUCAAAAGCUAUUACAUUUUCCUGAAAGGAAGUCCCUUGAUAGGUCAGGGGAAAAUAUUUCCUCUUCCAGCAUCUUCACACAUCAGCUUCCUCAAGGGGAGCUCCUGAGGGUCUGACCAGAGGUCUACUUGACACUCCUAUGUGGCCCAAAACCCAGGCUUUUCCAAGUCAGCUUUCUCAAAUGACUGACUCCUCUUUAAUGAAUUAGUUUGGUCCUCAAGAACCAACCCUGGAUGAACAGUUAGUGAUAAUUAAUAAGGAAAGUGACAUGAUGGGCUGGUGGUACUUUGCUGGUUUAAUGGAUAAAGCUGGCAUGUCCUCCACUGUCUACUGACCACUGAUGUGAACUACACUCUGAGCAGCCCGAGUUAAGGCCUGGCUGAGAGAGGGUGGAGGCUGCACUGGUUCUGAGUAUGUACCUUCCUGCUCACUAAACUAGAAGUCUGUAUAUACUUCUCAUCCUUCUCUAGACCUUGUAGUAGCAGGGAGAGAGUUUCUUCCUUCUGUCACCAAAUGUUAAUUCCACCAACCCGAUGGCACUGACCCUUCUCACCACUGUCCCAAGCAGCAUCCAAACACCCAGGAAAACCUAGGAAAACCUCACAUCAACCCAUGAAAAUCACACCAUGAAACCCCAGUUUCAUCCCUUUAUAAAAAUAUUUGGAUUAAUAGACUGCUAAUGUUUGGUUUUGGAUUUGACAUUUAGAAGAGUUACAUUUAGAAGAGUUAACCUAUGAUUUCCCUUUACUGUGAUGUCUAUUGCUGGGUGACAUCAAAAUUCUUCUGAUGAUGAAAGCAGUGUAGGCGUGUUCUCUCUGUAACUGUUCUCUGGAAGAGUAUGUAGGAGAAUGGCAUUAUUUCUAAAAUAUUUGGUAGAAAUCAGAGGAAACCACCUGUGCCUGAAGUUUUCUUUGUAAAAAAAUAUUUUUACAUUUCUUAUAUUCAAAUUGAUGUUUACUUUACAUAUUGUAAAGUCCCCAAAUCUUAAGUAUAUAGUGUUAUGUUUUCCUAAUAUAAGCACACCUGUUGCCAACACCAGUUCAACAUACAGAACAUCUCCAGCACCCUGGCAGUCUCCUAUAGAAGAAGAUAAUAAUAGUACCUAACUUAUUAAGUUACGAGAAUGAAAUCAGCUACUUCAUGUAUAUUCCAAUGAUUACAGAAAAUUAGCUAAAACAUAGUGUGGCAGCAGCCUUGGAAGGUAGUUAAGUGGCCUGCAUGAGUUAUCACCAUCAUUCUCUCUUCACUUCAUGGUCACAUGCAUUAGCAGCCACCCCAGGUUUUUGGUUGGUUUUCUUGAAGUGCCAACAAGUAAGUUAGGGAAGCAAUGAAGAACAUGUACAUUUGCUUGCUUUACCAUUUUCAUCCCAAGCAUUUACAUCUCAUCUUCCUGUUCUUCUUUGCCCCAAAUUGCUUUGUCUUUUCCUUCUUUUGAAUCAGUACAAGAGAAUUUGUUGACAACUGAAAGGAAGAGAAGAAUCAGGCAUAAUCAAAGCCACUCAGGGCAGAUUACCAACUUGAGCAGAGAAUGCUGAAGGCAGAUCCAGACUUCCCAGAUUCCCUCCAGCAGGGGCCAUUCUAACUCCCUUCUGACUCCUAGUAUAGCUUCCUGCUGGGGCCAUUCAGGGAUGCUUGCCAGGAGUCAGUGUUGCAGACCCAGGAUCAGGGGCCAGGGCAACACUAAGAAAGUGACUGAGGUGGCCUGUAGAGAGAUCUUAUAGAUUAAAAAUCUAUGGACCUUUAGUGCCUGGAUGAGACCAUGUCCUACAGAAUGGGAAUUACAAAAAGAGGGGAUGGGGAAGAGCUACAAAGAAGAACUUAUGGACAGCAAAAAGAGAGUGAAAAGAGAAGAAAGGAAAUAAAUUGCAUGCACAGUUUUGCUCCCUGAAUUAUUGUCCUCAAAAUCUAUGAAGUAAUCCUGUGCAUGGACAAUUGCAGGAGUAGGGAGGAGGAAGCCUUGGGAAAAGAUGGGGACAGUCAGGGUUGAGGUGAGAACUUGGCCCCACUGCUCCUGGCAGGAUAAAGGCUGAUCUCAGGAUGAUUCUGUCUUCAUCUCUGCAAUGAGGGUGUGGGUCUCUGACCUCUAACAUACUUUUCCAGCCCUCGAAUUUCAUAACUGUGGCCAAGAAUGAAUGCCUGUGUCCUCUUGUCCUUCUAAGAUGGCAGUCAUUACAUGCAUUUCUGUGUGUGAUGUUGCCUUCCUCAGUACUCCACUUACUCUUCUCACUCCUAAUGCUUAUGGACAUUCUCUUUUUCAACCUCUAUCAGCCAUAUGUUCUAAAAUAUGGGAACACUGGAGGAAUGAUCAUGGGUAUACUGCCACCCUCCCUCAUCAAUCAAUUGAUAAAUUAACCAAUACAUUCAAACCCAGAUGGUACCUUGAUCACAAUUGCAAACCUUCAAAUGAGACAGAAAUGCUGAAGGAAUCACCUUUCACACUCUCAGAUCUAUAAGCACAUUACAGUUCUUACCUUUAAAUUUACCACCUGAAAUUCAAACUGUUGUGGGCACAUUUGAGAUGUGGUUAGUGUGAUUGAGCAAUGUGAUGUUACUUUAAUUCACAGUAUGAAUAAAAUUAAUUAUAAUCA